rnacentral:rRNA from 1 species
UACGUAGGGGGCAAGCGUUGUCCGGAUUUAUUGGGCGUAAAGAGCGUGUAGGCGGCCAGGUAGGUCCGUUGUGAAAACUCGAGGCUCAACCUCGAGACGUCGGCGGAAACCCUCUGGCUAGAGUCCGGAAGAGGAGAGUGGAAUUCCUGGUGUAGCGGUGAAAUGCGUAGAUAUCGGAAGGAACACCAGUGGCGAAAGCGGCUUCCUGGUCCAGCACCGACGUUCAGGCACGAAAGCGUGGGGAGCAGACAGG